UCAGGACGAACGCGGGCGGCGUGCUUAAUGAAUGCGAGUCGAACGAGAUCCGAGACGAGUCUUCGGACAGAUCUCGGUGAGAGUGGCGAACGGGUGAGUAACACGUGGGUAACCUGCCUCCAAGACGGGCACAACAGAGGGAAACCUCUGCUAAUUCCCGAUAUGCUGUCACCACGCAAGUGAGUGACAGGAAAGCUCCGGCGCUUGGAGAUGGGCCCGCGACCGAUUAGCUUGUUGGUGAGGUAAAGGCUCACCAAGGCGACGAUCGGUAGCCGACCUGAGAGGGUGACCGGCCACACUGGGACUGAGACAUGGUCCAGACUCCUACGGGAGUUAGCAUCAGGGAAUCUUGCGCAAUGGGCGAAAGCCUGACGCAGCGACGCCGCGUGGGUGAUGAAGGUCUGCGGAUCGUAAAGCCCUGUCAGGAGGGACGAAGUUCUGACUGUACCUCCAGAGGAAGCCCCGGCUAACUACGUGCCAGCAGCCGCGGUAACACGUAGGGGGCCAGCGUUGUCCGGAAUUACUGGGCGUAAAGCGCGCGCAGGCGGUCUAGUAAGCAGCGGGUGAAAUUCCAGGGCUCAACCCUGGGGCUGCUUGCUGAACUGCUAGACUAGAGUACGGGAGAGGGCAGUGGAAUUCCUGGUGUAGCGGUGGAAUGCGUAAAUAUCAGGAAGAACACCCGUGGCGAAGGCUGCUGCCUGGAACGUUACUGACGCUGAGGCGCGAAAGCUAGGGGAGCGAACGGGAUUAGAUACCCCGGUAGUCCUAGCCGUAAACGAUGGACACUAGGUGUUGCGAGCAUCGACCCUCGCAGUGCUGUUCUGCUAACGCGUUAAGUGUCCCGCCUGGGGAGUACGGCCGCAAGGGUGAAACUCAAAG
rnacentral:rRNA from 1 species